rnacentral:rRNA from 1 species
CCUACGGGAGGCAGCAGUAGGGAAUCUUCGGCAAUGGACGGAAGUCUGACCGAGCAACGCCGCGUGAGUGAAGAAGGUUUUCGGAUCGUAAAGCUCUGUUGUAAGAGAAGAACGAGUGUGAGAGUGGAAAGUUCACACUGUGACGGUAUCUUACCAGAAAGGGACGGCUAACUACGUGCCAGCAGCCGCGGUAAUACGUAGGUCCCGAGCGUUGUCCGGAUUUAUUGGGCGUAAAGCGAGCGCAGGCGGUCUUUUAAGUCUGAUGUGAAAGCCCACGGCUCAACCGUGGAGGGUCAUUGGAAACUGGGAGACUUGAGUGCAGAAGAGGAGAGCGGAAUUCCAUGUGUAGCGGUGAAAUGCGUAGAUAUAUGGAGGAACACCAGUGGCGAAAGCGGCUCUCUGGUCUGUAACUGACGCUGAGGCUCGAAAGCGUGGGGAGCAAACAGGAUUAGAUACCCUGGUAGUCCACGCCGUAAACGAUGAGUGCUAGGUGUUAGACCCUUUCCGGGGUUUAGUGCCGCAGCUAACGCAUUAAGCACUCCGCCUGGGGAGUACGACCGCAAGGUUGAAACUCAAAGGAAUUGACGG